rnacentral:rRNA from 1 species
CACGCAGGCGGUCUCUUAAGUCCACUGUUAAAUCACGGGGCUCAACCCCGGAGGUGCAGUGGAUACUGAGGGACUGGAGACCGGUAGAGGCUAGCGGAAUUCCUGGUGUAGCGGUGGAAUGCGUAGAUAUCAGGAGGAACACCGGUGGCGAAGGCGGCUAGCUGGGCCGGUUCUGACGCUCAUGUGCGAAAGCGUGGGGAGCAAACAGGAUUAGAUACCCUGGUAGUCCACGCCGUAAACGAUGGGCACUAGAUGCCGGGCUCUUCGACGAGUUCGGUGUCGUAGCUAACGCAUUAAGUGCCCCGCCUGGGGAGUACGGCCGCAAGGCUGAA